rnacentral:rRNA from 1 species
CCGCGUGGGGGAGGAAAGCCUUUGGGUUGUAAACCCCUUUUCUCAGGGAAGAAGAAAGUGACGGUACCUGAGGAAUCAGCCUCGGCUAACUCCGUGCCAGCAGCCGCGGUAAUACGGAGGAGGCAAGCGUUAUCCGGAAUGAUUGGGCGUAAAGCGUUCGUAGGUGGCAAUUCAAGUCUGCUGUCAAAGACAGUAGCUCAACUACUGCAAGGCAGUGGAAACUGAAUAGCUAGAGUGCGGUAGGGGCAGAGGGAAUUCCCGGUGUAGCGGUGAAAUGCGUAGAGAUCGGGAAGAACACCGGUGGCGAAAGCGCUCUGCUGGGCCGCAACUGACACUGAGGGACGAAAGCUAGGGGAGCGAAUGGGAUUAGAUACCCCAGUAGUC